rnacentral:tRNA from 1 species
GGCAGUGUGGUGUUGUGGUUUGAGCAUUGGACUAGGACAGUGGAGACCAGGGUUCAAAUCCCUGCUCAGCCA